GGAGGUUGGUGGCACUUUAAUUGGGGAGGGACAGGCUCGUGUUAAUGACAGGAGCGGAAUCAGUGGAAUGGUAUCAAAUGCUGCGUCAAACACGUGGUUUCCAUGGUUUCCAGGUGUUUGAUGCCAUUCCAUUUGCUCCGUACAGGCCGUUAUUAUGAGCCGUUCUCCCCUCAGCAGCCUACACUGCUUUCAGGAUGGCAUCCGCUGCAUCUGUGUUUCAAAACAAUGACAAAUCUUUACAUUUUUUGUUAAAAACAACGUAUAGUUUGAUACAGUAUCUGGGGGGGGGGGGGGUCUCCCCCUAAAGCAGAAUCCGCCAUGCCGUCUUGCCUUGAAAUGAAAGUAGCGAUCCAUUUCAAGGUGUGGCACAGCGUUGUGAAGUGUUGUUUCUUGAUGAAGAGAAAAACCUUGCGGUCCCGAAUAGCGACCCAGUCACGAGACAACGCACCUUGCUGAACCAUGUGCCAAAGAGAUGAGGGUCAGUUGGUUUUUCUUGUGCUCCUCUGCUGCUGUCUCAGGCUAGCUAGACCAUCUCUCAGGCUAGCUAGACCAUCUCUCAGGCUAGCUAGACCAUCUCUCAGGCUAGAAAAAAGCGCAGCAUGUCUUGUGCACGUUUUGGCAAUCCCUAAUUUAAAAUCUAUAUGACAAAAGAAUUUGAGGAAUAGUGAAUGAUUGACCUGCUGAAAGAUUCACUCAAAUGCACUGUUAUGGUGUUAAACUCGGGACUACAAUAACAGCAGCAAAAACUACAGGUAGGCUGGGGGUCCAGUACUGUCCGACAAAAGGAACUCUGGAUAAUAGCGCUACGAGUACCUUAAAAAAAAAAAACACACAAUAGACAGAUUGCUAUUUUUUAUGUCUAAGAAGUAAAUGGAAGUAAUCCUUUAAAAGUGUUUAAAAUAAUUAUUGUGAACAUUCUGUUUGGUUGAUAAUAGUGUCCUCCGUUUUCAUCGCAUCAUGUGAUUUCUGUAUAAGGUGUUUUUAAAUGUUUUAAGUAUGAAAAAUAUAUCUACCAGUAUUGACUUAUAUGGUUUCUAUAUAAGUAUUUUCACAGAGAAUCCUGCUAUAGAAGUUGUUCUUCCAGAUUUUAGGAAGAGGCUUUGAGCGAUGGAUAAUGUUUCAGUGUAUUUCAGUAGUUAAAUGUAGCAUCGGCAGAUUUAAUUCAAACCGAGGCAGUGAUUCAAUCCAAGGCUGGUUGUAAGAGCAGUGCAUUGGACAGACACUGCACCUUUUAAAAGGCAAUUUCUCUGACGUUCAAACGGUAAACGCUGACGGUAAACGCUGACGGUAAACGCUGACGGUAUACGCUGACGGUAAACGCUGACGGUAUACGCUGACGGUAUACGCUGACGGUAAACGCUGUAAAUGACGUCAAAGUGGUCUGCUCUAUAACGUGCCUAGGAUUGAAUCACAG
ensembl:lncRNA